UACGAAGGGGGCUAGCGUUGCUCGGAAUCACUGGGCGUAAAGGGUGCGUAGGCGGGUAUUUAAGUCAGGGGUGAAAUCCUGGAGCUCAACUCCAGAACUGCCUUUGAUACUGAAGAUCUUGAGUUCGGGAGAGGUGAGUGGAACUGCGAGUGUAGAGGUGAAAUUCGUAGAUAUUCGCAAGAACACCAGUGGCGAAGGCGGCUCACUGGCCCGGUACUGACGCUGAGGUGCGAAAGCGUGGGGAGCAAACAGG
rnacentral:rRNA from 1 species